rnacentral:lncRNA from 1 species
CAGGUGUGGGCACAUGUGCGCGCGCACACACCCACACCCCAGCACAGCUCCAAAGGCGGAGGCCAGCCUUGGCCACUUGGCCCUGGCCUUCCCACCACCCUCAGCGUGACCCUCUCUCACCCAGGUGGGAGGCGGCAGUGAGAAGAGCCUCAGUGACUGGAUGGUGAGACAAGGCAUGGUGAGAGGGGCUGGGCACCUGCGCAGGGCCACCCCGGCGGUGCUGUCCAUCAGACCCGAGGAGAGCGAGGGGCAUCAGGGCGCCCAGCCCCGCUCCCCGGCCCUUGCUUCCACGGCCGUGCAGCUCUGGCAGCUGGGAGGUGACCGGGGCUGGCCUGGAUCUGGGCUGAGUGUCCGCAUAGGGAGCUGGGCAGCGCUGGGAACUUGCUGCUGGUGCUGCUGGGGAAUCAGCUCCUGCCUCUUCUCUGGGCGCUCCUGCCGCCCACCGGGGUCCUCGCUGCCUGCCGAGGACAGAGCUUGGGGACUGACCUGGCUUUGGUUGGAGAAGGACUCGUUCUCCCUCUGUUUCCCAAAGUAGCUAAGUGGUAACUGGCGUUUCCUAGGCAUCUAAGCUGUGCCAGGCGCUGUGCUAAGCUCUCUGCCUCCCUCAUCUCCUUUAAUUCUCACAGCAGCCUGGACGGUAGGUAGCAUCACCCGUUGCAGUGAGCGAGGCGAGGGUUCGGGGAGUUUAGCAACCUGCGCAAAGUCGCAGGCCAGCACUGCGCCAGCUUUCUGACCCCGGAGUCUGUGCCCAGAGCCUCCAGUAGGAUCCUCCCACUCAAGAUGCAUCUCGAGACCCCAGCCCUGCCCCAGUCCAACCCUCAGCCUCGGUGGCAGAACUCGUAUCUUUUUUACCCCCGGUGAAAUGUACCCGCAGAACCGCAGCCCCCUGGACCCACCAGGCUGGUGGUCCCGGCACCUCCCUCAGCUCCAGCCCAUCUCUGCCCCCUCCCACCAUAAACUCUUGAGUCUGCAGGGGUGCAGUGGGCGCUGCAGUCGCCCCCCUGCCCCAGCCUUGCCAGCUGGCCGCUCCCUGGGCCUUGAGUGUUACUGUGUCAGGGGCUCGCGAGGCAGGUGACUGCGCGGGGCCUCAGCCGGUGGGCCCUGGGCUGGUGGGGCCUCCCUCUGGUCCAGUGCACUGUUCUCCCCCCCAGAUCCCUGUCACCCAGGCCUGCCUCAUGGAGGACAUCGAGCAGUGGCUGUCCACGGACGUGGUGAGUCAGGCCUGCCCCUCACCCACCUGACAGGAAGCCCACUUUAAUCACGAGGAAGUUGGGGGGCAGGGGGAGCAGAGAGCAUGCACGGAGGACACCUCAGCAGCCGGGAGUGUGUCCCCCACCCCCCCAGGACACUGGGCCCGGCCCACCCCCCCAACAGCUGCUGGAGCCUCUCUUCCCCGAGCCUGCCACCACCAACCCCGGGUCCCGCUGUGGGCAGGACGGGUGGACUGAGGGCAGCAGGGGACACCUGCAGUGGCCCCGGGAGACACGCUGCAGCCCCACUUGCAGAGCAGGACACUGACAGGCAGCUGCAAGGGGUGCGGUGCCUGGAGGAGGCGGGCGCGCCCGGCGGUCUGCAGAGCCCCGCGUCUGCCAUCACCACCUACCUGUGGGCACUGAGGACCAAAUGCCUGGGCGCUUCCAGGCCCAGAGGCUGCCUUCUGCAAGCGGCAAGGCCACGCUUCUGCCCAUGGUCAGGAGAGUGUCCGUUGUGUCUGGUGGAGGAAGGCUUACCCCCACCCCAGCCCCCAGCCCAAGCACGCGUGGCCUCGGUCUCGGGUGUCAGCUUGUCCAUCAUGGGGCGAGUCUGCCCAUCCCUCUAGGCACUGGAGGGAAGGGUCAUUGAGGGCCCAGUGGGCACCACACCCUGUGCUCGGCACACGGCCAGCAGGCCUCCCCGACAGCCCCGUGAGUGCCACCCAGCUGAAAGCCGAGGCUCAGAGAGGUCAGGUGACAUCCAAGGCCAGGUGGCUCAGGAAGGGGUGGGGCCGGGGUCUGGGCCCCUCUGGUCUGCAGGCUGAGCCCCACCCUGGCCCACAGCUAACCUGCCUCCUUCUGCUUCUCAGGGCAAUGAUGCCGAGGAGCCCAAGGGCGUCACCAGUGAAGAAUUCGACAAGUUCCUGGAAGAACGGGCCAAAGUGGCCGACCGUUUGCCCAACCUCUCCAGCCCCUCGGCCGAGGGGCCCCCGGGUCCCCCAUCUGGCACCGUCCCUCGAAAGAAGACGCAGGAGAAGGACGAGGACAUGCUGUUUGCCUUAUGAGUGUGGGGCCUGGCGUCCUGGAGCCCGGGCCCCCGCUGUUCCCACACUGCGUGGCUGGGGCCUCUUCCUCCUUUGGUGUUCGCUGCUUUGGGGGUGGCUUGUUGCGCCCUCUUCUCUCCCCUUUGAGGUUGGGGCUGUGCUGCCUGGGGGUACAGGGGGCAGCUGGACAAGUUGAGAGCGCGAGUCAGUUCUAUGCUGGAUCCUGGCCACGCCUGCCUCCUUCCCCACCCCCACCAACCACUACAACUUUGCUGGAAAGCUGGAGGCCCCGGCACAGACAGGCUGGCCUCGUGGUUGCCCCAGUGUGACUGCCCCUGCCGUGGUGACCCAUCCCCAGAGGAGCGCCCUUCAGAGCCCUCACUGCCAGUUAAGGCCCAGCCUGAGGUUGGAGACCGCAGAUGCUUCUGUCGCAGCCUUGGGGCCCAAAGGCUUUGGCCACUGCGGAGGGCCGGGGGUGUGCUGUGGUGAAGGGAGGCCCCACCAGCCCCCGGCCGCAGGGGGAGGCUGCGGGGGUGCCUGGCGCACCCAUGUCACCCACGACCUCCACGCCCUUCCCUCCAUCCUUUCUCUCUUCCUCCCGCGCAGGCCUCCACUGGGCACUGGGCCCACCCAGCUGUUGGUUGACCCUCUUGUACUGGGAGAGGUGCCCUUUGUACCCCCGAUUAAAAGUAGAAAAGC